ACACUUUUAGUGUAUUUUUUUUUCCCUUUUCAUGAGACAGAAUUAAUUCCUGUAGUCUCAGCCCUUCAGAAUCAUGGCAAUCUCAUUUGGGAAUGCCACAGUAAUGGCGAACAGCAGGAGUGCAUGGACACAGUGCCACCCUCCCAGGGACUGCUCCAACUUGUGGAGACUCUGUCAGGACAAGGGGGUUGAUCCAGGGGGAAGGUGGGAUCACCUGUCCCAAACAGCAUCCAAGCAAAAUGAAAAACAGGAAUUCAGAUGUGUUCCAGUAGAAAAAACUGGGAAAGAAGCUGUUUUCUAAGCAAGGCAAACAAAGCUUUGCUCUGUUCCUCAUCACUUAUGAGAGACAUUUAGUUGUUGCAGAUACUCAUAACUGUGAGCAAUUCCCAUUACUGUCAUUUUCUGGAGCCUGCACUGAUUUCCUCUCCUCUUAACAGAGAAAUAUCAGAAGUUCUUUUUGGCUUUAUGUUGAUCUCAUUGACAACAAGGUUCAGUUAAUUUGCUGCAGCAUCUGCAAGGCUAAAUGGAAAAGGAGAGAGAGAGCUUCAGCCUGCAAGGGCUGUGUUCUCUCCCAGCUUGUUGUGACUGACUGAUCUUUUUGGAAGCUUCUGGGUUCCUGGCACUGAGCUUCAAAGAUGUGCUGCUGCUGGGGAUUACAGCAUGGAUGGCACUGGGAUCUGCUAAUCCUUCAUCCCCACUGCAACCUCUGCUGUUCCUAUUCAAACAGCAUUUUGGAAAGGUUAAUAAAGGCAAAACAGCUCUGCUGCUUGGGGCUUCAGUCAUUGACUUUAAACCAGUAGGAGCUCAGGAACUGAAUUUAAAUCCCAGCUUGGAAGAGAUCUCUCCAUCAGGGCAUUUCUUCAGGACAGAAAUGAUACACGGACUGAUCCCCACGGAUCAUCCCAUUGAUUUUGGCUGCCAUUGGGAAAGAUGCUUCCUCUUCCUCCCAGACUUUAAGCAUCUGUGCAUGUCCUGCUCAUCAGCAAACAUUCCAGCAGAUGCCAAGCAUCCCUCGGACUCUCACCACGCUGAGAGCCACACACAAGCUCAGGUGCUCCACUGAGCCAGGGCCUCUCUAAACAAGAAGAGACCAUUAGUUUUGGCUCAUUAGCUUGACUGAGCUGACUAUUAAAUCCCACUCCUCCCGCCACUUUCUGUAAAAUAAACUUAGAAAUGAGCCAUCUUUGCA
rnacentral:lncRNA from 1 species